CGGCUCGGUGUCGUGUUACUGCUGCGCGCGUGAGCCGCGUCGUUCCUCUUAGUUGUGACUGGAAAAGUUUGAAAAUUUUAGCUCGUUUUAAGUGCUGGAUAGCCCCGUUAUUAAUAACACCUUGUAGCGCCCGUCAGCAGUUUGCAAACCACUAGACAGAGGUUUCCGUCCACACACGCUCGCUGUAACUGCUGGGUACGAUCUUCCUGGACAAUAAUUUCAUUUAAUGAACUCUUGAGCUUUCAUUAAAUGGGAUAAUGUUGCUAAUCCACUAGUUCCAGAAUUGGCCACCUGCUUGUGCAAGCUGUUUGUGCAAGUGUGCUGUGUCACGGGGAGCCGUGCUCUGUGGUACGGGGAUAGCUGAACUGGGGCGGUUCGUCACUUGCCUUGUCAAUAUCUUCUAAAAGGGGAGGGGGGAAGAAAUCAGGGUCAAGUAUUUAUCGUACAGCCGUGAAUUUGAGUGCUAGAUUAUGCACAGAUGCAGGAACACCAGCUGUUAGCCUAAUUCCUGCACGUGUUUGUGCACUUUCCAAAUGAAAUCUGAAGGAUAAAGAUGCAAAUUCCAUAAUGCAAAUUUAGUAGAUGUUAUAAUCAAGUGAAUAAUUAAACUGUAUACUGAAAAAGAAGGUUUAGAAGAUGUUUUUGGCUUGCUGCAUGAGAAUCCUCUGGGACGUUGCUCAGUACAGUGGAACUUUGCUGGAGCACACCAAGGCUCCAACAUGGCCUUUAUUCAGCAGAUGGCUUUGUCUGGGAUGGCCUGUGCAGAAAGCAGGAUUAAUGGUACAUGAGGCCACUGACCUCACACCAUGGCAAGUUUAGAUCCCUUUGAGUCUUACUUGCCGAUGGCUCUUCUGUGAUGUGUGACUGGUACAGUCCCAUGGCUUACCUGUGCAGAACACAGUGAAGAGGAAGGUUGUGUGCCUCAUCUUGUCCACAUGCAGUGGUGGUCAGUGUCUGCUUUCCAGAAAGCUGAUGAGCCACAAAUUCCAAGCUUCAUGCUCAGAAGUAUUGAAAUAAAUAUUUGAGGAAAUUUGUUAAGAUAAUGCUGAGAGAGAAUCAGAGAGAGCAAGGAGAAAACCAAGAACAGCCAUAAAGGAUGAUACUCACAGAAAGACAUGAUGGAAUGAGACUGAAAAGGUAAUUGGAUCUUUAGGUCUGAUAUUUUUAAAAUGUUUUCUGAAAAGAUUAUUCUUCACAGAAUCUAGACAAGCAGUCUGUCUUGUCUCAUCUUUUUUGUCUGUUGUUUUAACCUACAUCUUUGGAAGCAGAAUCCUAUUUCAGCUUGUCUCCAUUUCUUUGCUGCCCACCAUCUUUGGAAGCUCUGCUUGAUUAAUGAUUGAUCACAAAAUCACUGAAUUGAUAACAAAACGUUGAGAAGAAUCCACUGCCAAUAUGUCUCAAUAACUGAGGAUAUAUAUUAGACUUAAUACGUCUGGAACAAUAUCCUUCAUGUAUUAGGUCCAUUUACCACAAAUAACAUUUCACUGGCCUUGUGCAAGUAACCUUUCAAGAUAAUGCAUAGUGAAAAUGCAUUUUGUUGUGAGUUGUGCAAGUUGAACAGCUGUCAUGAAAAACCUGCAGCUGGCUUAGAUGCUGAUGGGUCAAGACUAAACAACAUCUGCAGCUUCAGAAGAACAUGCAAGUUUACAGGAGCUUGUUUGCAUCAUGGCUAGUGUUUGCUUGUAAAGUUUUCUACCAAAACCUGCAAUUUUGGUUUGAGCUAAAGGUGCACAUUUGGACUCCUGUUUGAAUCUGUGCUGAGCCUGUGCAGAUGCUGAUGAAGUGGGCAGACCUGCUACCCAGAAGGAAUUGAAAUGAAUGAAGCUUCUCUUGAAAACAAACACAACCUGAGGAAAGCAGAGACAGCAAAUGAGUUUGAAGCUGUCACAGGAGGCAACUUUGAAUCUCUUAUAUCCAAGCUGUCGCUUUAUCAGAGCCCUGAAAAUAUGGGAGUCAAAAGCAGAAACAUGUAAAGUCGUGGUUUCUGGCAUAGUUUAUUUCUCUGAUGCAAGUGCGCUUGCUGUGUAGUCACUGAGGUUCAUGGACUGAAAGAAGAUGAACAGAUUUAGAGUGCUUUUAUCUAACAUGAAAUUGAUACUGUCUUAUGGGAAUGACUUCUAAGAAGAACAUGAGAAUGUCUGUACUAGGCUAGACCUGUGGAUGUUUGGGGAAGAGCAUCAGACUCAGAUGAAAAUUUGUGAUCCUUAACCACAGCUUUUCUGGCCAACAGCAAUUUGUGGCUCAGGGGUAACUGUAAAAGCUUCUCAGGUGCAAGAAGCAACUUAUUUGUAAACAUGAAAUGAGAGGGAAGGUGAGCUUAUGUACUCACUAGUACUGGAUUUCUAUUAUCCUUUCCAUAAAUGGAUAAAUAAAUGAGUUCAAAUUUUGGGGUAUGUUCUCUAAGUGAUUGUAGAUUUGUCUCUACAUUUCAGAAUUUUAAACCCAUUUAUUAAUUCUAUAUGGAUUUAAAUAGUAUUUAAAUUCAGAAAAAUUAUAUGAAGUAACAAGUAGAUCUGUCAACACAAUUUACAAAUUAUGGGUUUUUUUUCUCUUGUAAGUUUCUCAGCAAUUUGGGUACUUUAAAGAGUGUUAUUUCUCUUGAGUGAAUGUUGUUUCUGGAAAGAAAGAUGCAUGGCAAAAGCAGUUUUAGAUGUCUUUUUGUUUCUAUAGAAUUUAUUAAAGGAUCCUUUUAGAUGUGUGGAGGAUUGUGCUGUCAUAUGCAGAAAAGUACAAAGUAUCCCAAAUGUUUUCCUUGGUUAUCUGAAGUUGAAUUAAUGUUCAUUAAAUGGGCAUCCUCAUCUAAGUCAGGAUUAAUUUUAAAUUCAAGCCAUUAUUCUUUUGGUAUGUAAUUAAUACUGUGUAUGUUCUUAUCAAUAAGUGAGUCUCAUUUUCAGUUUGUUGAAGUUUACCUGAGAGUAUUCAAGUGUCUCACCCUUUCCAUGUAUGAAAAUAUGCCUUUGAUGUCUCAGCAUUUGACUUUAAAACAGCUGAUCUUCUGGCGUGCUGUAUAAUAAAGUUGU